CGAAACUGCUCCCCUUCCCUCUCCCCGUGUCCCCCCCAUCUCUUCCUGUUGUGUUUUAAGCAUCCAUCCCCAGACACUGCUGGAGAGGACAUUCUGGAGGUUUGGAUGAAAUCCCACAAAUUUUCAUGGAAGCAGAACAGCAGGAAGGCAAACAGGAAAGAAGAGGAGUAAUAUACUAAUCUCAGGGGCACUUGUUGCGUUUCUCUCUUCUCUUUGCUGCGCUGUUUCCUUUUCCUCCAGCCACAUACUGCAGGAUAACGGCAAAUGAAUUAAGGGAUUAAACCAUGAGGGAGAAUUAGGAUCCUGCUGAUUUAGAAGCAGAAAACCAGAUGGGCUCAUUGAACUCUAGAUGACGCAAGAAAAUCUUGGGUAGUACUUUGGAUGUAGGUCACAGGAUAAUUCAAGUUAUUUGGAACCUCUGAAGAUCUCUGGUCCAACAGCCCCAAAGCAAAGUCAUCUUAGAUCAGAUUGCCCAGGGCUUUGUCCAGUGAAGUUUUGAAUGUCCCCAAGGAUGGAGAUUCCCCCUCACCUAUGGUCCUCUGUGUUUAACCAUCUUCAGGGUAAAUAUUUCCCUAAUAUCUAAUCCAAGCUUUCCCUUCUGCAACUUGUAUUCAUCGCCUCUCCUUCCAUGUCUGUGUGUACACUGGGGAGAUGUCCAGGUUCACCAGGACCCAUUCAGGGCCAGUUGUACGUCCCUUGUAAACCAGAUUGUUGGGCACGAGUUUCAGAGAUGGUCCCAUCCCAGAGGGUUCUGGGCCUCCUGAGCACCUUGGAUUGUCCCAGUGGGAGCAGGCCUGGAUGGGAGGUCUCAGCUCUCCAUGGUGCAUCAGUGCUGCCUUUGAAUUGCUCUCACCUGUGUAACGGCGUGAGGAUUUGCUGUUACUGUGACUGGAGACAUCCCGAGCAGCAUCCAAACAUCACUCCCACAACCCAAAUUCAGGAUCAUCCAGGAGGUGGUGGGUCUGGAGAAAAAGGGCUUAUGGUGGCCUUUGGCCUGCUGCAUCCACCUGGGGAAACAAAGGCAUGGAUAAUAAAGGUCACCUGUUCACCUUCAUUGCUGACAACUGAGCCAAGAAAUUCCUUCUCCCCAGUGCCCCGAGCACUCCUCCAGACUGCCUGGGGUCACACAGCAUGAGGCCAUGCUCAGACACAGCUUUUGGUGACAGGCUCACAAGCAGGUGGACCUCUUCCAGUACAUUUUGGCAGCUGGGAAUCAUCUCAGUGAAAGGCAGAGCUGUGACAUGUUUGGCUGUGCCUUGCAGGAGAGAAGAAAAAAAAAAAAUUAAAAAAGAGAAAAGAGAAAAAGGAAAAAAGUUGUCUACAACAUCCCAGCCUGUCCCUGAUCCUGGGAAUGGAUAUGAGGGCUUGUUCAGGGAAAAGGUGCACUGCACUGACCCUGCGCAGUGAGAAACAGAGAGGCAGAAGUCAUGAAACAGGGCUCUGUUUGGCCUCAGAUUUGAUUUGCAUGGUUAAAACUUGCUGAUCCCAUACAAGGUUCUCCUGGCUGGGAGCUGAACCUGGUUCCACAGCCAAGCUUUCUUCUUUUCCAGAGCGUUCAGCAUAAAUCAGACUUUCACAGCCGUCUUAGAGUGGAAGGAGCAAGAAAUCACGUUUUGUCUCCUGUCCAGGAGCUCUGGGAGAAAGGAGCUGUCAGAAACCCAGGAAACAGCCCAGAUCUGCUGACACGUGCUCUGGGACUCCUUCUGCCCGGCGCUGCCUUCACCCAUCUGCUGUAACAACUCCAUCAGCUCCCACGCGCUGCUUUUCCCAGACGGGAUCCCAGCCAGGCUGCUGGCGCACAAGCGGAGCUGUGCCCUGAGCAAGGGAUACCAAAACAUCUUUUGGGCUGGGUUAUACUCUGCCCUGCAUCUCAUGCAAGCCAUCAAGAGGGUUUUAACACAGACCCAGAUCAGGUGUGGUGCCCUGCUGUGAACAUUUGCGCUCUCCUGGGGUUGUAUCUUUAGGGUCUUUUUUUUCCCUAGAGGACCAGCCCAGAGAAGUCACCCUUUCAUAUGCUUUUCUAACUCUCUCGUCACUAGUCUCACUAGGAAUUAUUUUCUGUAUAUUUAGGUAGAAUUUCCCUUGCUGUGCCUUGUGUCCAUUGCCUCCCAUGCCUUCCAAGAGGAUGGUGGCUCCGCUGUCUCCUUCUUCUCUGACUGAACAAACCUAUCUCUCUCCACAUCUUCCAGCUUGGCAAAGUACUGCUGAUUUUCCUUGUACAGCUUCACAAGCAUUUGAGGGAGAGGGGCAAGUUCCCACAAACACUACGUGGGUCAUGCCCAUCUGAGCAUCUCCCAGCAGGGAGGGAGGGUUUGGUGGAGGCGGCUGCAGAAAUCCUACCAAUGCCUGCAGUGGAGUCCAGCAAGAAACCAAAAGCUCCAUUGCUGAUCCUGUUGAAACAGAGGGUUAAAGCCUCUCUGUUAGAGCCAUUCCCUGCUACUGAGAUCCAUACAGUCUAUUAAAAUUAGGGAUCUUAUUAUGGGCUAUAUAAAAAGGUAAAGAGGAAAUGAGAACCGUAUGAAGGGUUUCUUAUGUGUGCAGAUGGCAAGGGCAUGUGAGGCUGAGAAAACCUUUCCAACAGGCUUUUCCCAAACAGAAAUGCUUACCUUACAGGGUUUGCCCUCUUCUAAAAAGAGGUAAAUAGAUGCAGGAGUAUCUAUCCUGCACAAUUCACACUGGCCAACCAGCCACACUGUCCUUGGGAUGGAGAAACAGACCCCAAACCCAUAUUGUGCUCUGUCCUGGUUACAGCUGAGAUGGAGUUAAUUUUGUUCUAGUAGCUGGUACAGUGCUGUGUUUUUGAUUUUGUAUGAGAAUAAUGUUGAUAACACGCUGCUGUUUUAGCUGUUGCUAAGUAGUGCUUACCCUAAGUCAAGGACUUUUCAGUUUCCCAUGCUCUGCCAGUGUGGAGGUGUACGAGAACCUGUGAGGGAGCACGGCCAGGACAGCUGACCCGAAGUGGCCGAAAGGAUAAUCCAUACCACAGAUCAUCAUGCUCAGUAUAUAAACUGGGGGGAGCUGGCCAGGAGCCACUUAUCACUGCUUGGGAAUGGGAUGGUGAGCAUUUGUAUUGUGCAUGCCUUGUUUUUCUUGGGUUUUAGUCCUCUCUCUCUCUUUGUAAUCUUCCUUACUAUUAUUAAAGAAUUAAUAUUAUAUUGUAACUAAUUUCAAUUAUUAAACUGUUCUCAGCCCA